rnacentral:rRNA from 1 species
ACGGAGGGUGCGAGCGUUAAUCGGAAUCACUGGGCGUAAAGCGCGUGUAGGCGGUUGGGUAAGUCGGAUGUGAAAGCCCUGGGCUCAACCGGGGAACUGCAUUUGAUACUGCGACGCUUGAGUCCCGGAGAGGAAGGCGGAAUUCCCAGUGUAGAAGUGAAAUGCGUAGAUAUGGGGAGGAACGCCGGUGGCGAAGGCGACCAUCUGGGCGCAGACUGACGCUGAGGCGCGAAAGCGUGGGGAGCAAACAG